GCUCAUCAUGUUUGUGACUGCAAUGAUGCUGCUACCUUGGACAAAGGGUUUACUGCUGCUGGUUCAGAGAAGGAUUGCCAGGACCAUCGUGUUACAAGAAAGCAUCAGCAAAGGGCAGUUUGGAAAAGUUUUGCAAGACAAAUGAUGGGGAGAAAUUGCUGUGAAGAUUUUCUCUUCUAGGGAAGAAUGUUCAUGGUUUCUAGAGACAGACAUUUAUCAGACUGUGAUCGCUACAAACCA